CUUUGUUAUGUUUGUAGGUUCAUAGUUUCCUUUCCUCCUCUAUUGCCAUGGCCAGCCCCCUUAGUUUGCAAACGUCCGACGGUGGUACAAGCAGUCAUAUGUUCCUUAGUGAACUCCGUGAAGGGAGCACCGAACCUAUCAUGAUAAUGAUUUGUAGAAAAUGGGACGUGACACGUGUUAACGGCAAGUACAUGAGCACCGACUAUAUUGUCACUGACAUAAAGGGAGGUGUGAUGCAUUGCACCGCAAGGAAUAACAUUGCCCACUAUUUCUUUGACAAACUCAAAGAGGGCGGUGUAUAUUUGGUCAACGGUUUCGCCGUGUAAUUGUGCAUAUUUAUUUUUGGAUAACCGUCUACAUAAAUGUUUCGUGUUUUUCCUUCGCAGGCCUGCUUAUGCAUAUUCGGAUUCAGAAGAAACAGUUGACAGUGACCCACAUGAAAGUCAGUUGGCUGGUGAUGGGAUUGGGGAUGACGGUGGCAUGCGUUAGCUAAAGUUUGGUCUAUGUGUUAUCCAAUAAGAUAGGAAGGCGUGCGAGACUUUAUGCGUUUUUCCUUUUUUCUGUUUCAUGUUUUUUUUUUCUUGGAAGACAUCUUUUUUCACUUCUUUUUGGCCGGCAAGUUUU